GAGCACGUAGGUGGGUUUGUAAGUCAGAUGUGAAAGCCUUCUGUUCAACGGAAGAAUUGCAUCUGAAACUACAAACCUUGAGCAUAGGAGGGGAGAGUGGAACUUCUGGUGGAGCGGUGAAAUGCGUAGAUAUCAGAAGGAACGCCGGCGGCGAAAGCGAUUCUCUGGCCUAUUACUGACACUCAGUGUGCGAAAGCUAGGGGAGCAAACGGGAUUAGAUACCCCGGUAGUCCUAGCCAUAAACGAUGGGCACUAAGUAGAGGGGUUUU
rnacentral:rRNA from 1 species